rnacentral:lncRNA from 1 species
UGGCUUUGUGUCGACGUGAAAACUCUGAGGGGUGGAGGAGGUUGAUCAUUUUGUGAGCUGGCAUGAGUGCCGGCCGCUGGUGUUCUCUCUGGCCGGCAUGAAUUAUGGUUGCUGGCAUGAACUACGGCCUGAGUGCGAAAAUUUCAGUUCUCUAUGCCUUUGCAAAAAAAUUCAGGCGCCCGACAAAAUGUGUUCAUUGGACACACGGCUAGCAUGAACAUAUAAUGAGCCGGAUGCCGUCCUUUUGCCCGCCUCAAACUGAUAAAUUCCAAACAAAACGGACAUUCAUUUGGGGUUAUGCAUAGAAGUUGGCCUAAAGAUCUAACGACCGAAGACAAGUUGACCAAAUUUACCUGGUCACUGCUUAGUCAGAGCGAUAACAUUUUUGUGGGGGAGAUUGAUGACCUAAAUAAUAAGCACCCAAAU